rnacentral:rRNA from 1 species
GACAGAGGGUGCAAACGUUGUUCGGAAUUACUGGGCGUAAAGCGCGUGUAGGCGGCUAAGUAAGUCGGGCGUGAAAUCCCACGGCUCAACCGUGGAAGUGCACUCGAAACUGCAUAGCUAGAGUCCUGGAGAGGAAGGUGGAAUGCAUGGUGUAGAGGUGAAAUUCGUAGAUAUCAAGCGGAACACCGGUGGCGAAGGCGGCCUUCUGGACAGUGACUGACGCUGAGACGCGAAAGCGUGGGGAGCAAACAGG